UUCGUUGCGUGCAUACCUCUGUUUAAGUGUUUUUCGAAUUGAGCCACUACUACACCUAAGAAGGCAACCACUUCUACUUACAUACUUUGCAAGAAUAUCGGAAAAUCCAAGUAACCCGGUAAUAAAAUCUAAUCAAAUCCAUAGAGCCUCCCACAGAAACCGUAUCCAAUCUCACCCUCACGUUACCACAAAUAUUAUCUCCUUUAUUGAAUUCUAUCAACCUUUCACAUACUACUGCUAUUUGUACCCCUAAGACAGCCCCUUGGCUAAGCAAUCUUCCAAUACUCAAUACCGAUUUAUGCAGAUUCGAUAAAACAGAAAACCCAAACUCACUCCUUAGAAAAUCCUUUCAAAACAUCCUCAAUUCAACAUAAUUUGAUGAAAUAUUAUACACCGAUGCGUCCAAGAAUGAAGACUGUUGUGACUGCGCUGUGUCCACAACGACGACGACAAUAAGCUCUGUGCGACUACCUAGAAGCUUUAGUGUUUACACCGCAGAAUUGUAUGGACUACUUCAGGCACUAAAGACUUCACUUCACCUUACUUCAAAUGAAAGCAAGAAAAUUGCCAUAUGUACAGAUUCCCUCUCCUCGAUUCAUUCCAUAAGAUGCAUCUUCACAAAAACCCAUUAGUUCAGAAAAUACACAACAUAUGCAACAAACUAUAUUAUACCAAUAACAUUACAGUCACAAUGAUCUGGACUCCAUCCCAUGUUGGUAUAUUGGGAAACGAAUAAGCAGACCAGGCCGCUAAAGCAGCAUGUUGCCGGCAGUCGCCGGCUGCUGACCGAUAUUUUACCGACAGCGAUAAGCGGUCGGCGUGUGUGCAAUAUCCCGUUAUCACUAUUGGAAUUUGGACGGCCGAUCUAAAAUCGACCAUCCAAAAUCGGUGUAUGUCUGUAAUUUCGCUUAGUUUUCAACUAAGGAAAUUGCCGGUAGUAAAACGUUGAAGUAUCUAGUGAAAAGUAUUAGUUUUUAUUCGAAAAACAAUGUAACUUUCCCAUAAAAAAACAUUUUUUUUAGUAGUUGUCUAUAUUAAUUUAAAACAAUAAGCGAGCUAAUAUAUUUUUUUCGGUAGGUAACUACCAAAAUUAAAAGAUCAAAAUCUGAUUAGGUGUAGACUUAUCUAACCCAAUUACAAUAAAUAAUGGCGUC